UGAAUGAUGUUAACUCUUUAAAAUAAAAGAUCAUGAAUUAUAAUUCUGUCAAUGAUGGUGCUGCAGCCUCAGAAUGGGAUUAGUAGGCCUAAGACUUUUUAUAGUUUAUA